rnacentral:rRNA from 1 species
GACAGAGGGUGCAAACGUUGUUCGGAAUUACUGGGCGUAAAGCGCGUGUAGGCGGUUAUGCAAGUCGGGUGUGAAAGCCCCGGGCUCAACCCGGGAAGUGCAUUCGAUACUGCGUAGCUAGAGUACUGGAGAGGAUGGUGGAACUCUCGGUGUAGAGGUGAAAUUCGUAGAUAUCGAGAAGAACACCAGUGGCGAAGGCGGCUCACUGGCCCGGUACUGACGCUGAGGUGCGAAAGCGUGGGGAGCAAACAGG